rnacentral:rRNA from 1 species
GUAGGUGGCAAGCGUUGUCCGGAAUUAUUGGGCGUAAAGCGCGCGCAGGCGGUUCUUUAAGUCUGAUGUGAAAGCCCACGGCUCAACCGUGGAGGGUCAUUGGAAACUGGAGAACUUGAGUACAGAAGAGGAAAGCGGAAUUCCACGUGUAGCGGUGAAAUGCGUAGAGAUGUGGAGGAACACCAGUGGCGAAGGCGGCUUUCUGGUCUGUAACUGACGCUGAGGCGCGAAAGCGUGGGGAGCAAACAGGAUUAGAUACCCUGGUAGCCACGCCGUAAACGAUGAGUGCUAAGUGUAGGGGGGUUUUCCGCCCCCCUUAGUGCUGCAGCUAACGCAUUAAGCAUCCGCCCUGGGAGUACGGCCGCAAGGCUG